rnacentral:rRNA from 1 species
GGGUUGUAAACUUCUUUUAUAAAGGAAUAAAGUCGGGUAUGCAUACCCGUUUGCAUGUACUUUAUGAAUAAGGAUCGGCUAACUCCGUGCCAGCAGCCGCGGUAAUACGGAGGAUCCGAGCGUUAUCCGGAUCUAUUGGGUUUAAAGGGAGCGUAGAUGGAUGUUUAAGUCAGUUGUGAAAGUUUGCGGCUCAACCGUAAAAUUGCAGUUGAUACUGGAUGUCUUGAGUGCAGUUGAGGCAGGCGGAAUUCGUGGUGUAGCGGUGAAAUGCUUAGAUAUCACGAAGAACUCCGAUUGCGAAGGCAGCCUGCUAAGCUGCAACUGACAUUGAGGCCCGAAAGUGUGGGUAUCAAACAGGAUUAGAUACCCUGGUAGUCCACACGGUAAA